ACUCCAUACUGCAGAUACCGGCUUGCAAUUCAAGAACUUAAAUGACUCCACUCUCCUUAGGCAUCUGUUUAUUGUCUUUUGGAUAGUAUAAAAAAAGGAGGAAACCUUCUUACUUUCAGUGAUUAUAAAUGUUCACACAUUUGACUUCAAAGAGCAUUUAGUACUAGGACGGAACAAGGAAUCCUAAUUUAGAUAAUUAUAGGGACAGCCAGCUGAAGGCCAUCCUUCCACGCAUUCAGGAAUUGGCCUCAGUAAGGGCAUACUCUGUAGUUAGAAAAGCAUAUUUAUACCAGACAUUCAACUUUCAUGCCUGGGAUCUCCUGAUGUCCAUGAGCAGUAACAAACCAUGAGUAGUAAGCAAAUUAGUUGACAGGAUUAAAAGCUCAUUUCCCUUCCUAAAAGUAAUGGGAUGUUUGGGUGAGCAGCAUAUGACAAAAGGCCUUUAGGUACCAUUCAACAGUUCAGAAAGGAUCAAGGAAAUAUCCCAGAGGAUAGGAGAUUAUAAGCAGAGAAGAUCCUUUUAUGGGAAGCAUGAAACAUAGAAUCACAACCUAUUGAUAUCUGAGGGGGACAUGUCUAAAUAUCUUGGGUACUAUAUAACACCUGAACAUAACUGUUGGCCUAUUAAUUCAUUACUCGUAAUUAGACAUGCUUCACAUGGGCAUCUAGUUUUCACUUAUGAAAAAAAAAAAUUAUAUUGGUGCAGUUCCACACCCCUGCCCAAACAAACCUUCCAACCUCAAAUCUCUUUACAGGGAUUAUCUAAUCUUAGAAACGUGUUAUGAACAUAAGGCACUUGGCAAACUUUUUCUGGAUUGUGGCUAGGUGUAUUUCCAUUAACUUUCCUCUGGAAAUGUACACAUGGGACUGUUGUUCGCUAAAGCUGCACUGAGUGUUUAUGUACAGAUAAUGCAUUCCAUAAAUAAGAGGGAUGGAGAAAGGAGAAGGAUGCAGUGGAAAACAUGUUGUAUCACUUUGUAAUAUAUCUGAUUUUCUGCCAAGCAGGAGGAAGGAUGCGUGAUUGACGAGUUUUAUAAUUAUUUUUCCUUUGAGACUAAUUUCUGUGGUCUCUGUGAGAAAACAUACAAAUGUAUGCAUGCAUAAGAUGUGCUUGAAUUGAAACAGAAAACUCAAAAGCAUCAGAAUAGACCAGGACUACGGACAAGAAAAGACAAUCUGAACCUGCACCCAGGAAGAGACCCUAUGGGGAGCUUUAGGUAACAAUGUCAGCUCUCUGCCUGGUGCCACAAAGAGACAAUAUUUUCUCAAGAAAAUCAUUAUAACUGCCAUUAAGAAAGAUACAUCAUGGCUUUAGGAAUGCAGGAACUGCUAUUUCGGAUCAAACCAGUGGUCCCUCUAGCCCAAAGAAAGGAUGGCAGGAAGAAAGAACAGACACUCUGACCA